UACGUAGGGGCUAGCGUUGUCCGGAAUCAUUGGGCGUAAAGAGCGUGUAGGCGGCUCAGUAAGUCCGCUGUGAAAGUCCAGGGCUCAACCCUGGAAUGCCAGUGGAAACUGUUGAGCUAGAGUCCGGAAGAGGCGAGUGGAAUUCCUGGUGUAGCGGUGAAAUGCGCAGAUAUCAGGAGGAACACCAAUGGCGAAGGCAGCUCGCUGGGACGGUACUGACGCUGAGGCGCGAAAGCUAGGGGAGCGAACGGG
rnacentral:rRNA from 1 species